UCACUUUCAACAACGGAUCUCUUGGCUCUCGCAUCGAUGAAGAACGUAGCGAAGUGCGAUAAGUAAUGUGAAUUGCAGUAUUCCGUGAAUCAUCGAACCUUUGAACGCAUAUUGCACUUUCUGGUAUUCCGGAAAGUAUGCUUGUUUGAGGGUCAGUU
rnacentral:rRNA from 1 species